CUUUCAAUUAGCAAUGAUCAAGGGAACCAGAAAGCAGUGCCUAGCAUACCUUCCUCUGCUAAAUCCUGAUAAAGACAGAUAAAAUGGGGUUUUCUCCUGCCAGAGCAUCAGGACUCAGGUGCACAGAUAGGUUUUGAUUAGAGAAAGUAGAAGGACUUUGCAAUUUAUGUUACAAGAGAAAUGGAGCAGAGUCUGACUGGAGACUAACUAUGGAGAGCUGGGUCAGGGAGGUCAACAAUCAGCCUUCAGAUGGUUCAAAUUAGUCAACAUAGAUCAGAGCUGAACCCAUGCCCUAGAAGUGAACGUAACUUCUCCUGUGAGAAAUCACCUGGCAGCGGGCUACAAGAAUGCCCUUUACUGAAGGAAUAUAGAAAGGAAGUGAUGAACGCAAAAGGGUAUAAAUCAUUCACCUUUAUUAGUAAGUGCUAAUUAAGUCAUGGAUUACUUCAAACAUGACCAACCCACC
rnacentral:lncRNA from 1 species